rnacentral:rRNA from 1 species
AACGAACGCUGGCGGCAUGCCUAACACAUGCAAGUCGAACGAGACCUUCGGGUCUAGUGGCGCACGGGUGCGUAACGCGUGGGAACCUGCCCUUAGGUUCGGAAUAACUCCCCGAAAGGGGUGCUAAUACCGGAUAAUGUCUUCGGACCAAAGAUUUAUCGCCUUUGGAUGGGCCCGCGUUGGAUUAGCUAGUUGGUAGGGUAAAAGCCUACCAAGGCGACGAUCCAUAGCUGGUCUGAGAGGAUGAUCAGCCACACUGGGACUGAGACACGGCCCAGACUCCUACGGGAGGAAGCAGUGGGGAAUAUUGGACAAUGGGGGAAAGCCUGAUCCAGCAAUGCCGCGUGAGUGAUGAAGGCCUUAGGGUUGUAAAGCUCGUUUACCCGGGAUGAUAAUGACAGUACCGGGAGAAUAAGCUCCGGCUAACUCCGUG